rnacentral:rRNA from 1 species
UGGGGAAUAUUGGACAAUGCCCGCAAGGGUGAUCCAUCCAUGCCGCGUGCAGGAAGACGGCCCUAUGGGUUGUAAACUGCUUUUAUACCGGAGAAAACCUCUCUUCGUGAGGAGAGCUGAUAGUAUGGUAGGAAUAAGCAUCGGCUAACUUCGUGCCAGCAGCCGCGGUAAGACGAAGGAUGCAAGCGUUAUCCGGAUUCAUUGGGUUUAAGGGAGCGUAGGUGGCCUUAUAAGUCAGUGGUGAAAUCUCUGGGCUUAACCCAGAAAUUGCCAUUGAUACUGUAGGGCUUGAGUACAGUUGCUGUGGGCGGAAUAUGACAUGUAGUGGUGAAAUACAUAGAGAUGUCAUAGAACACCGAGUGCGAAGGGAGCUCACAAGACUGUAACUGACACUGGGGGUGGAAAGGGCGGGGAUCAAACA